GAAAUUAAUGCUCCGAGCAAAACUUGUGUGACAUAGAAUCCACAUUUUCGCUCUAUAAUACUCGCCAUGAGAGGGCCAAAUCAAUCGUUCAAGGCUGGAACGGCAAAUCAGAUUUUGGCCAACAAGCUAACCGAAUUUCUGCAGGUCAUUUGCGAUGAUGUUCAAUUGAUGCAUGUUUUGUUUAGAUGGUUUCUGUUUGAAUUCCAAAAGCUUAUAGCCCUGAAGUAUUGAACCUACAUCUCUUAAUAGAGCUCAUACACAUCUGCGAUGUGUUUGCGUUGUUCAACAAAUAAAUUGUUUUGCAUUACCAUU